CUAAUGGUCAAACACCUUAUCAGGAGGAUCCUGCAUCUAACAAUGUGAAGUUAAAAGGAGGUCAAACACCUUAUCAGGAGGAUCCUGCAUCUAACAAUGUGAAGUUAAAAUGAGGUCAAACACCUUAUCAGGAGGAUCCUGCACC